UUUGGUGUGUGUGUGGGUUUGUGUGUGAAACAAACCACACCCAUAUGAGACGUGGGAGUGGAGAUAAUUCCAUUUUGGAGGAAUUACAUCAUGAAGUGGAAGAGUCACAUCAACGAGGAGCUCUGUCACUGGGGGAGCUGGUCUGGAAUAUCCUAACUGCUUAACUGUAAGGGUUAAGCACUGAUGUGUCUUUUAUGUAAUAUGAAAUUUAACAAGAGAUUUUUUUUUAACGAGAAACUUGAUGAGAAAGAUGGAAUUUGUGAGUAAUUUGUAAAGAAAUGGACUAUGACAAGAGUCAUAAUUGCCUCUGAGAAAAGCCAUCGUGCAGAAAUAGAAACACUCCUUCCACUGAGGAUUUGGACAUUUUGUUGAAAGCAGCUAGCAGCUGGAAAUGCAAGGACCAGUACUGGACUUUCUUAUUACCCAAGGAUAGCCCGGCAUUCAAAAGCUCGGCAGCUGACCCAACAGGAUGGCUGCACCUUUUUCCCCCCCUCUGGGAGGAAGGAUCUGGGUUCAGCCUUUAUUCGGCUCCCUGAUGGCCCCAUGUGCUAAUACUGCUGUCACGUCCUGGGGAGAGAGAGAAGACUAAUUACUGACUGCACUCGCUUCCUGCCAGUCCCCCUCUGAGAGCCAUACACUGUUAAUUAGACGACAAUGCCAACGAGAGCUGCACUGUGGAUGAGGCCGACCUUUACCUCAUGUAAAUAGCAUUAAAAAUCAAAAUAAAUGUUUAAUUCCUCAUUUCCAUUAUUCCAUCUGUAUUUCAUAACAUCCUUCUUUACAGAGUUUUUCCAUUUUUAACCAUCCAAGUGAAGUGAAUAAAACAAAUAACUUUCUAUUUAAGGGACACGUUAAAUAAAAACACAGUUUUAAUCCAGCUGGCUGAGCAGAGACUUUAACUGUAGGCCAGUUUUACACUUUUCUGUCUUACAGAUUUUAAAAUUAUGCAUUCUGAUUUAGUGAUUCCCUCUGGCCAACAUAUCUUUUAUCAUUCUAAUCAAUAUUAGAUAUCUGUCCGAUAUUUUAAAUAUGAUUUUUAGCCUGGGACUCUGCAGCCACGGUAGACUCUCUGUGAAACUGCACUCAGGCUCUGGAAUAAAAGCUAAUUGCAGCAUACUGACAUGCUCACAGUGAGAUCACCGUAAGCACAAACACAGUAAUGCCACCAUUUUAUUUUAGGUUGUUAGAACGCUAAUGUUUGUUAGUAAGCACUACACCUAAAGUAUAAAUGAUGCUGAUGGAAUAUUUUGGGUGAGUGAGGAUAAUAUUGGGUGAAUAAAUAUCUGGACCAAAGAAAAAUCAAAGCACCAAAUCAAAUUUCCUGUAGCCAUUUAUAUUUUACCUUUAUCACAACUGCCACCUAUCUGUGGUCCACUAUCACCAAAUUUAGGAGGAUGAAUCCAGUGAGACAUUUUGGUAUUUUAUAGUGUUGUGCUCCUUUAGGAGGCAAACCCAUGUUGUGCAUUUUGUGAAAUACGAGCUCCAACUCCAUCUCGCUGUUAACGGGUGAUUAAAAAAAAAGCAGCCUUUAGGAACAUAAUGGUGAAAUUAAGUGGGGUGAAAAGCUGGAGUCUUUUGUUUGGGGUCCACUUUGUGAUUAUCUUGAGGCUACAAAUGGAUUCAGUGUUUUAUUGAUGUGAUUAUUUUAAGUGUUAUUGCUGGACCUUUAACCAGAUGUUUGGAGGUUAAAUGCCUCCCCCAAAGGCAAUCAGAAGUGUUCUUUCAUAAAACAACAGCAAUUCUGCCUCUAAUUAAUAGGUCUAAUUAAACAGAGUGCUAACGUGGCAUCAGGCACGUCUCUCCUGUUUGUGUAGCAGAAAACAGGACAGUGACAGUAGUGAAGAAAUACAUUUAUUCAGUUUGACUUUUGGUCAAUUAAAAUUCUGUCAUCUAAAAUUUUAGAUUUGGUUUAAUUAGAAACUGGCAAUCAAAAGCCUCUUCAGCUUUCACUUGAGUUCUUUAAAUGAACUGAUUUACACAACAGGCAUUAAUCCUUCAAAAAAACUGCGCACACCCAGGUACACUCAAUCACAACGCUAACAUAAAAGAUGCUAAGACUUGCUGCUGUGCUGAGUAAAGGAAAGCUCAAUGUGACUUCAUCCUGAGAAUCAAAAGAAUAAACAGUACCAAAGGCUCAGUGCUCCGUUUAAUGAUAUACUCUUUGGUAAUCUCUGAUAAUUCCUCAAGUUAAAUAGUCAGAUCAUCUGGUAAAUAUGUUUUAGAAAGGAUUAAAUGAUGUCUAAGCCUCAUCGGGAAGGGCAGCAACGCUGGCAAGAGCCGGGAUGAUCCUCUCGUACACGCUGAUGCCUUUCAGGAAGACUUGCUCGUUCAGAUACUCGUUGUGAUCAUGCAGCAGGAUCGGCGUCCGGUUCAUUGGAGAAAAGC